AGUGAACGCUGGCGGUAGGCCUAACACAUGCAAGUCGAACGGCAGCACAGUAAGAGCUUGCUCUUACGGGUGGCGAGUGGCGGACGGGUGAGGAAUACAUCGGAAUCUACUUUUUCGUGGGGGAUAACGUAGGGAAACUUACGCUAAUACCGCAUACGACCUACGGGUGAAAGCAGGGGAUCUUCGGACCUUGCGCGAUUGAAUGAGCCGAUGUCGGAUUAGCUAGUUGGCGGGGUAAAGGCCCACCAAGGCGACGAUCCGUAGCUGGUCUGAGAGGAUGAUCAGCCACACUGGAACUGAGACACGGUCCAGACUCCUACGGGAGGCAGCAGUGGGGAAUAUUGGACAAUGGGCGAAAGCCUGAUCCAGCCAUACCGCGUGGGUGAAGAAGGCCUUCGAGUUGUAAAGCCCUUUUGUUGGGAAAGAAAAGCAGCAGGUUAAUACCCCGCUGUUCUGACGGUACCCAAAGAAUAAGCACCGGCUAACUUCGUG
rnacentral:rRNA from 1 species